GCUGAAAAUGCUGGCAAAAGUGGAAUAUGCGGGAGUCCAAAAAUACAUUAAAGUUCCUCAAACUGAUGAAAAUUUCAAUUUACUCCAGUUUCUUGAAGAAGCGACAGACAAAUUUAGUCUGCAGGCUCAACUUCUAUCCGAGGGUGUGUUAGCCUUGACUGAUACAUCAGAUACCGAGGUUGAUGCAGACACAUUUGAUGAGCUGAUAAAGUCAGGGGUCCGAAACUUCAAGGUUGGAUACCGCAAGUACCCAGUAACAGAGUUGGACAUUGAAUUGGUGGAAUACAACUCGCAGUCCUCCGUAUUGUCAGACUCCACAGCAUCACCAGUUUCAUUGCCAGGACCCCCCGCAUCACCAGCUUCUACAAGUUCAGAUUCGACAAUCAUCUUCCCAUCCACUAAAAUCCGGAAGAGAGGCCUGGUAGAGCUGGAUCGUAAUGAAGCAAGACAGAAAUUACGGAUUCACAUGGGUAAGAAAUCCUUUCAAAUGACAGAGGAAAAACAUUGGUCUGCGCCCCUUGGUCUGCUCUGUAUGCGGAUUCCCCCCAGAAGUGUCAGGACUAGUUAUGCAUUCGGAAUUGUGAACCUUUUCCCAUAUCUACAAGAUCCGUACUCAAAGCAUGGAUAUGUAAGUCUUUUUGAUGUCCAAAAACAGUUGUUUUCAUCAUCGAUCGAUGUUUCUGCCUUAUAUUUCUAA
rnacentral:lncRNA from 1 species